rnacentral:lncRNA from 1 species
CUCUAGUUUCUCAAGGUGUUUUGUUCACUAUGGCACCACCAUUUGUUGCAUCUAACAUUCUUCUUUUUGUGGACAGCAAUCCUUCAUAAAGAUAGUGAAUUAGAUAUUGUUCUAAGAUAUCAUAUUGCGGACAACUUGCGAAUAACCGUUUGAACCUGUUCUAAUAAUCAUGUAAGUUCUCAGAAUCCCUUUGACAUAUUCCACAUAUUUCUCUCCUAACGUUGGUUG